CGGAGACUCAACGCUCCGCUGAGGACUGCUGAGUUGCCAAAACCGAGUUGACUGGGUGAGUUGGGAGGGGCGGCGAGUCAAGUAAAGGUGGAACAUCUACGUCAACAACUCCUUCAAGCAUCUGAACAACCUUCUUCAUGUUGGGUCUAAGAGAUGGAUCUUCCCCAAACCAAAUCUUAUCAAGUUAAGCAAACCAAGUUCUUCCUCAAACCAGUAAUGGCAGAGUGAGCUUAGGAGCUUCCCUUUUCGCAACAG